rnacentral:rRNA from 1 species
GAUGAACGCUGGCGGCGUGCCUAAUACAUGCAAGUCGAGCGAACAGAUGAGGAGCUUGCUCCUUUGACGUUAGCGGCGGACGGGUGAGUAACACGUGGAUAACCUACCUAUAAGACUGGGAUAACUUCGGGAAACCGGAGCUAAUACCGGAUAACAUAUUGAACCGCAUGGUUCAAUAGUGAAAGACGGCUUUGCUGUCACUUAUAGAUGGAUCCGCGCUGUAUUAGCUAGUUGGUAAGGUAACGGCUUACCAAGGCAACGAUACGUAGCCGACCUGAGAGGGUGAUCGGGCACACCGGAACUGAGACACGGUCCAGGCUCCUACGGGAGGCAGCAGUUGGGAAACUUUCGGAAAGGGGGGAAGCCUGAAGGAACAAAGCCGGGGGGGUGAUGAAGGUCUUCCGAUCGUUAAACUCUGUUAUCAGGGAAGAAAAAUAUUGUAAGUAAAUGGGGACAAUCUGACGGUACCCGAUCAAGAAGGCACGGCUAACUUCGUG